UACAGAGGGGGCAAGCGUUGUUCGGAAUUACUGGGCGUAAAGGGCGCGUAGGCGGCCUUCUAAGUCGAACGUGAAAUCCCCGGGCUCAACCCGGGAACUGCGUCCGAUACUGGAAGGCUUGAAUCCGGGAGAGGGAUGCGGAAUUCCAGGUGUAGCGGUGAAAUGCGUAGAUAUCUGGAGGAACACCGGUGGCGAAGGCGGCAUCCUGGACCGGUAUUGACGCUGAGGCGCGAAAGCGUGGGGAUCAAACAGG
rnacentral:rRNA from 1 species